UACGUAGGGUGCAAGCGUUUAAUCGGAAUUACUGGGCGUAAAGCGCACGUAGGCGGACUACUAAGUCAGGGGUGAAAUCCCGGGGGCUCAACCCCGGAACUGCCUUUGAUACUGAUAGUCUCGAGUCCGGAAGAGGUGAGUGGAAUUCCGAGUGUAGAGGUGAAAUUCGUAGAUAUUCGGAGGAACACCAGUGGCGAAGGCGGCUCACUGGUCCGGUACUGACGCUGAGGUGCGAAAGCGUGGGGAGCAAACAGG
rnacentral:rRNA from 1 species